UGUUGUCUCCUGGCCUUUUCAAGACCACCUCAUCCCUGCCUCAGUCCUGUUUUAUUGGUGGGGUUUAUGGACUUGUGCUCUACACUCGCUUUCAUCUUCAGUUCUGGCAGUUGCCUUGGCUGUACUGAACCCUGUGCCAUGGUUGAUCCUGACAUUGAACUGAUCUGUGAAAUUUUGUUGGUUGUUGAAAGGUUUAUUGAUAUGUGCUUAUUUGACAGCAAGUUUAGCACCUUGUAUACUCUCUGCAGGGAACUGUUCUCUAAACAGAGUGCACCUUGA
rnacentral:lncRNA from 1 species